AUUGAACGCUGGCGGCAUGCCUUACACAUGCAAGUCGAACGGUAACAGGUCUUCGGAUGCUGACGAGUGGCGAACGGGUGAGUAAUACAUCGGAACGUGCCUAGUAGUGGGGGAUAACUACUCGAAAGAGUGGCUAGUACCGCAUGAGAUCUACGGAUGAAAGCAGGGGAUCGCAAGACCUUGUGCUACUAGAGCGGCCGAUGGCAGAUUAGGUAGUGGGUGGGAUAAAAGCUUACCAAGCCGACGAUCUGUAGCUGGUCUGAGAGGACGAUCAGCCACACUGGGACUGAGACACGGCCCAGACUCCUACGGGAGGCAGCAGUGGGGAAUUUUGGACAAUGGGCGCAAGCCUGAUCCAGCAAUGCCGCGUGCAGGAUGAAGGCCUUCGGGUUGUAAACUGCUUUUGUACGGAACGAAAAGCCCUGGGUUAAUACCCUGGGGUCAUGACGGUACCGUAAGAAUAAGCACCGGCUAACUACGUGCCAGCAGCCGCGGUAAGAC
rnacentral:rRNA from 1 species